UUUCCGUAGGUGAACCUGUGGAAGGAUCAUUACAGAGUUCAUGCCCUCACGGGUAGAUCUCCCACCCUUGAAUAUUUAUACCUUAGUUGCUUUGGCAGGCCGUGGAAACACCAUGGGCUCCGGCUUAUGCGUGCCUGCCAGAGGAAACAAACUCUGUUUUUAGUGAUGUCUGAGUACUAUAUAAUAGUUAAAACUUUCAACAACGGAUCUCUUGGUUCUG
rnacentral:misc_RNA from 1 species